GCUAGGGGCUAUAGUAGUUACCGAACCCUAUCAAACUCCGAAUGCCAUAUACUUGUAUCACGGCAGUCAGACUGCGAAUGAUAAGAUCCGUAGUCAAAAGGGAAACAGCCCAGACCAUCAGCUAAGGUCCCAAAGUGUAAGUUAGUGGAAAAGGAUGUGGGAUUUCUAAGACAACUAGGAUGUUGGCUUAGAAGCAGCCACUCAUUUAAAGAGUGCGUAAUAGCUCACUAGUCAAGAGAUCCUGCGCCGAAGAUGUCCGGGGCUCAAACUUACCACCGAAGCUAUGGGUGUACACUAUGUGUACGCGGUAGAGGAGCUUUCUGUAUGGGUUGAAGUCGUACCGUAAGGAGCGGUGGACUGUACAGAAGUGAGAAUGCUGGCAUAAGUAGCGAGAAAUAAGUGAGAAUCUUAUUGGCCGAAAACCUAAGGUUUCCUGAGGAAGGUUCGUCCGCUCAGGGUUAGUCGGGACCUAAGCCGAGGCCGAAAGGCGUAGGUGAUGGACAAUCGGUUGAUAUUCCGAUACC
rnacentral:rRNA from 1 species